CUCGAGGUGGAGGAGGGGGCUGGCGGGAAGGAGGAGAAGGCGGCGGUGUCCUGCUCGAUCUGCCUCGACGCGGUCGUUGCCGCCAGCGCGGAGAGGUCCACGGCGAGGCUGCAGUGCGGCCACGAGUUCCACCUCGGUAAGGGGCUAUUGCCCGAUCUGUUGAUGCGUUAUUGCACUGAAUUAUGCGACGCUAUUUUUGGGAUUAUGACUGGGCCGGCGAUUCUGGUGUGA
rnacentral:rRNA from 1 species